rnacentral:rRNA from 1 species
AUUGAACGCUGGCGGCAUGCUUUACACAUGCAAGUCGAACGGUAACAGGCCGCAAGGUGCUGACGAGUGGCGAACGGGUGAGUAAUGCAUCGGAACGUGCCCAGUCGUGGGGGAUAACUACUCGAAAGAGUAGCUAAUACCGCAUACGAUCUAUGGAUGACAGCGGGGGACCGUAAGGCCUCGCGCGAUUGGAGCGGCCGAUGUCAGAUUAGGUAGUUGGUGGGGUAAAGGCUCACCAAGCCAACGAUCUGUAGCUGGUCUGAGAGGACAACCAGCCACACUGGGACUGAGACACGGCCCAGACUCCUACGGGAAGCAGCAGUGGGGAAUUUUGGACAAUGGGCGCAAGCCUGAUCCAGCAAUGCCGCGUGCAGGAAGAAGGCCUUCGGGUUGUAAACUGCUUUUGUACGGAACGAAACGGCUCUGGUUAAUACCCGGGGCUAAUGACGGUACCGUAAGAAUAAGCACCGGCUAACUACGUG